rnacentral:lncRNA from 1 species
AGAGAGGAAAAGAAUAUCCUUGCUGUGCCAAGAAAGAAAAGACCAUGGAUCUACUAGUUGCAGAUUUCAGCAGUAAUGCCAAGGGGGCAAGAAGUGACCAGCAGAACAAUUAGGCCAUGGCAACAGAAGCCAACUACAACCCAUGUUCCAAUCUAUGACCUCCCUCUCCUGCUGGUACAAGGAUAUGUAUUCCUUAGAGCAAAGGAUGCAAUGUCAAGCAAGUUGUGAUACCUCAACUAUCUACAAUUUAACACCAAGGAAAGAACACUGUUUGGAGAAAUGAGAAAGAUUAUCAUCAGUGUCUUUCAGAAGUCAUCAAAAGAAGAAAAGGAGAAAAGAGAGGAGAAAGCAGAAAGAUCUGGAGUCUGGGAAGUUCAAGAGCAUGGCACCAACAUCUGGCAAGGGCUUUCAUUCUGCAUCAUCUCAUGGAGGAAAAUAAAAAGGCAAAUUCACCACCAUCACUACUCUAAGUAUUUUUCUUCUUGAGAAAGAGAAGGAGAGGGAAAGCAAGGAAGAGGAAGAGAAAGAGAAAUGGAUAAAAACAUGGUCAAGUAGAAGAGUCUGUGAUUUCAGGUAAAUCCAGAUUUGGAGCUUAAAUGACUCAAAUGCUUUGCCUACAUUGAUCCUACAUUCAGGCUGCUUACAUAUCUCUUGGCUUCUCUGAGAACCAGAUUGUCACCACUUAAAGUGUCUUCCAGAGUCCUCACGAGUAUCAGAGAAGGCAUAAUCUGUACACGUGGCUUCAUUUAAAAUGAAAAUAUCAAGCAGUGUCAUUUUCACAAGUAUCCCCACACUGUCUGAGGCUGAAAAGAAGAGUGUAGCUAUGCACACUGCAGUGAGAAGAAAAUUUCAGCUCAAUUGGAGGAUGUAAAGAUUGAAAUACCACUGCUCCUAGUUCUGAUGCAAAAUUGAAAAGAGUGCACUGGGUCUUCAAAUGGCAUAUUGACAAGGAGAAAGAGGAAAGGAUGCCCCAGGACAGCCUGGGGGUCAAGGCUGGGCUCAGGCAUGCCUGGACAAGCCAUGCAAGUUGUCUCCGGACUUGAACCACGUAUCAGAGGAGCUAUUUGAGGAGCCACAUCAGCAUACCUGCUUCUGUGGGCCCCCAGGCUGUGGUGCUCAGCCCUUGCACUAUGAAACAUUUUUUUUUUCCAGAAGCCAAAGCUUUGAGCAUCUCCUCCCAUGUAGAGAGUGUAUAUGUUUACGUCCAUGUCUUUCGCCAUGUGAACGCAUGCAACCACCACCUCAAAUAUCAUAAAUCCUCUCUCUCCCCCUUUCUGUCUGCCUGUUUAUCUACAAUCUGUCUAUUUAAAUUCUUUUUAAACAAGAAGGGAAUAUCUUUAUGCCUGUUUGUAGGGAUAUUCUACAUCCAUCUGUUAUUUACAUCAUUCGUUUUCCUGAGGUGUCUCCAACAAAUCCUGGCUGGAUGCACUGUAUGUGUUAUUAAUAAAACAGCUGUAAAAA